rnacentral:rRNA from 1 species
CCUACGGGUGGCAGCAGUGGAGAAUAUUGGACAAUGGGGGCAACCCUGAUCCAGCCAUGCCGCGUGUGUGAAGAAGGCCCUCGGGUUGUAAAGCACUUUCAGUGAGGAAGAACGCCUGGUGGUUAAUACCCAUCAGGAAAGACAUCACUCACAGAAGAAGCACCGGCUAACUCCGUGCCAGCAGCCGCGGUAAUACGGAGGGUGCGAGCGUUAAUCGGAAUUACUGGGCGUAAAGCGCGCGUAGGUGGCUUGAUAAGCCGGUUGUGAAAGCCCCGGGCUCAACCUGGGAACGGCAUCCGGAACUGUCAAGCUAGAGUGCAGGAGAGGAAGGUAGAAUUCCCGGUGUAGCGGUGAAAUGCGUAGAGAUCGGGAGGAAUACCAGUGGCGAAGGCGGCCUUCUGGACUGACACUGACACUGAGGUGCGAAAGCGUGGGUAGCAAACAGGAUUAGAUACCCGAGUAGUC